rnacentral:lncRNA from 1 species
GUGAUCCUUCUUUUGAGCUUGGGCGCUUUGCUUACUUCAAUUGCCUGUCCCUCUUGCCCUUCCCCACCUCACCCUAAGCCACCAGUAAAACCUCCCAAAGUAAAGCCGCCACCAAUCGUGAAGCCACCAAAGCCUCCAGUAACACCAAAACCACCAGUCGUGAAGCCACCAAAACCUGAAAAACCAUGCCCUCCUCCUCCAGUAAUACCAACACCACCAAUCGUGAAGCCACCACCAACACCACCGAAGCAAGAGACUUGCCCCAUUGACACUCU